UGAUCGAGUACUGAUCGAUAAACUAUUUGAACUCCGACCAAACUCGAUCUCUACACGAUCCUUUCCAGAUCAAUUCGACCGCUACUCGACGAAUUAUCGAUCUGUUCUCGAGUGACUGGCUUCUCGAUCCUUACUCGAAUGUUUUUGACAUGUCGAAAACUCGCGGGUAGAAAGUCAGAUCGAUGACGACCAAGGUAGACCACCCCGAACAUUCUUGUCAAUUGAGUCAGACCAGUCUCCCGAUCGCUUAUUUUGUCUUGAUCGAUAUUGAUCGAGUUGGUCUGAUCGGCAG
rnacentral:lncRNA from 1 species